GUGAUUUUAGUUUAAGUUUAAAAUUUCUGCUUUGCACGCAGAGGAUUCAGAGGAUCUGAAAAUCACA
rnacentral:tRNA from 1 species